GCUGAGGAAGGAAGAAAGGCGGUGAGCUGCGCCACCUCACCACGUCGGGAAGAGACUUCUGAGAGAAGGAAGGGCUGAUGGAGUUGAAGAGCGGGCUGUGGAAAUGGCCCCGAGGAAGGCCUAAAUCUCCCCGUGACGCGGGCUACGACCCCAGCGGCCCCACCCCCACUGCAGGACGAAGUGAAAAGGGCUGUCCAGCGGCGGAGUUGGCGUGCCUCACGAUCUCCUGGGCUUCCUCCUCGCACCUUCGCCGCAUGUCUGUUGGCUGAUCUGCGGGCUGGAGGCCCUGGUCCGGAGCGAGCUGAGAACCGAGGGUUCAAGCAGAAGACGUUGUUCAUAAGGCCAUAAUCUGUGUUUGUGCCGUUUUCAGAGUCGGAUGGUUUUUUAAUAAACUUUACAAUUUAUCUUGA